AAGGCCCCCUGGUAAGGCCAGCCAGCCGGAGGACCACCCCGCAGACCACACGCCCAGGGCCUGGCACCAAGGGGGAGGCCCCGAUCAGCAGGUGAAAGCGACACCCUGAUGACACUGGCUAGUUCACCUUCACUCUGGUCAUCGUUUACUGUACCCCGGGGCAGCUGCUGCCUGAGCCCUAUGACCCCAACCGCUGCAGCCUCUGGCUGUCUCACUGGCCCAUCAUUAAUACGUCAAUGGUGAGCGCACUGGUGUACAGCGAGGGGGCUCCACUUCCGAGACCCCCGGAGAGGCCCGUCCUGGUGGAGUUCACCCUGCUGGAGAUGGAGAAGCGAACCAAGCCUGUCUGUGUGUUCUGGAACCAUUCCCUGGCACCAAGAGCAGUGAUGACCUUCUAGCUGGAAUGGCCAGAGGGGUAACGGUGACUAAUGGUGCUAAAGGGAAGAAAAGCUCCUGCCCAUCUGCAGCACCUUCGGCAUCUGCCCCUGCCAUGACCACCGUGGAGAACAAAUCCAAGAUUAGCACAGAAGUCCCUGUUGCGAGUGAGGACAAAGUGUGGGAAGGCCGUGAGGGUCUGCAGUCCCAGAUGGCCUUGGCCUCACCCCGCAGUGCGCUUUUGCACCAGAGUGCCACCUUCUUCUCCAGGUCCAGGUCUUCAGCAGUGACCCCGGACCCCAGCUGUAAGGGAGGUGGCAGCAUCAGAGGCUCCCCUUGCCUGAGUGGCAGCAGAGGAAACUUGCGUCUAUGGGGCCUAGAGGCCUGGGAUGUGGGGGAGCCAUUCCUGGGGGCAAGUGUCUGCCCUGGUGCUGCAUCUGCUGCCUUUUCACACUGGGUGAGACCCCAAGAGACAGCCUGAGGCCGGUCCUCACUCACUGUCUUUGAGGACCUGAGGGGCAGCUGACAGUGGGAUGAGGCUGGCCCCCUCCUCUUUGGUGACAGGAAGCCUCCCAUGGAACUGUAGGAGCUCACGAUGGCAUUUUGUUUGGUGCACGAGCUCAUCCAGGAGGUCUGGGAUCUCUGGUUAUAUCCGACUUCUGACCUCUGGGCAUGGAGGUCUCUCUGCAGAGGCCCAGGCCUGGGCAUGAAGGGAGAGAGGCCUCCAUUGUCCCACGGGGGCCUAAAUGCAGACUGUGCAUCCCCGGUGCCCUCAGGAACCCUUCUCUGAUCAUCAGGAUUCUCUUGGACUCUGGGGUCCUUGUCCUGCUCAGGCAUCCCUGCCCCCCUCUUCAGGAGGGCCCUCAACACGAUCUUCUCUGGACAGGAGUCUGGGGCACAACUGGAUGUUGUGGGCCCCAAAGGGGUGACUCCCUGCUCCUGGGCCCCACAGAGAGUCCUUGUGCUCAGUGCGCUGGCUUAGCUGCAAGACAUCCUGGAAUUGGGAGCACAUAGCACCGGCUUGCUGUGGUACCUGUGCAUUCAAAUUGAAGGCAGGAUCGCCAGCAAGGAACACAGGCCUUGCAGGAUCACGGAAAACCCUUGGAGUUGUUUUGACACACCACUGAUGCCAAGUGUCUGGGUACUUGUAGGAUGGCCCUGCCAUUCCAUCCAGGGGCAGUGGCAACAGGGAGAUUCCACAAACAAAGUGAACUGGGGGAUGGGAUGAGCAGGCUCCAGGCAACUGAGCCCUACUGGCAGGCCCUUGGCCCCCGGGGCCGGGACAGGGGUGACAGACACAGAGUGCCCAGGUAACCACUCCUGGGAGCAGUGGGGAACCGUCGGAUGCUUCAACUCUUGAGAGCUGGGCUCUAAGCAUCCGCCUUAGCUGCCAACUUGGCCAAAGGCUAUGUGAGCAGUUUCCCCUGUUGACGGGCAAUGCAUCUUUCCAACCUGAGCGAGUGGGUGUGCGUGCAAAGAUGGUGCGAGUCACGGAUCUGCGCGGGAAGGGUGACCUUAAGGGAUUAGCAUGGCCAGGUAUGCACACAAGGCACCUGCUGGCAAUGCCUUGGUGGGGAGCGGGCAGUGCACACAAGAGGUACUGGAGGGAGAGGCGCGCGGGAAGAACAGGCGCGCACAAUGGCUGCAGAUCCACCUGUGGAUCGCUGAAGAUUCCUGCUGAGGGUUGAGGCUGCUGGGCUGGAGGACUGUAUGGUCCAUGCAUUGUAAUGACCCCUUCUCUCCCUGGCCCGGAGCCCCAGGAGCUAUCCGGACUCUCUCCAAGACCUGGUUCUGGCCCAGCAAAGAGGUCUCGGCAGGGGAGCAGGAUUCCCGGCCCAGCAGCUGGCUCAGGAGGUGACAGCUUUGGGAUUCGCAUCUGAGCAUCCUCCUGCUCUUCUCCUGGGAACUCUGUUGGGGAGGGUUGCUCAGAACAGAAGUGCCUGGGACGCCCAGGCAGCUGCGGUGAUGGCCAGGGCAGGCUGGGAGGGACAUACUUUCCAUAGGACCCAGUGCUUUCAUCUCCGUGCAACUGACCAAGAGAAACCAAACCCAAACUCCUUCCUUUACACAGACCUAUUUGAGGGAGGCUGGGUAUUGUUUAUGUAUUUCAACCUAACAAGAUUUUGAGAUAGUUGGAAUGCAGAAGGAGACAGGAGGACUCAAGUGUCCUGUCUUUUGCAAAAAUGUCAAACGUAGCUACUCAGUCUCUUUUUUGUUUUUUGUUUGUUUUGAAGACUAUGGUUAUUUUGCAAAAUAUAUAUUAUUUGAGUUUCUCUAUGUGCUAUUUUUAGAUAAAUUAAUAUACUUUUUUCAUCAGCACAUGAAACGUUCUUCAAAACAGAUCCUCUGUUAGUCCACAAAAGCUGUCCCUACACAUUUUAGGAAAUCAUAAUCAUAAUCAUUCCAAUGAUCAGACAACAGAGGAAUAAACCUAGAAAUGGACAUCAAGGCAAACUACAGAACCUAUACACAUACAUGAAAAUUAAACCCCACCCUCCUGAAUGAGCACUGAUUCAAUGAAGAAAUUAAAAUGAAAAUCCGAAAAUGUUUUCAAACAAAUGAAAAUGGAAACACCAUAUAACAAAAGCCUUUGGAUUCAGCAAAAUCAGUGCUGUGAGGGAAGUUUGUAGCAAUAAAUACCUACAUCCAAAAAGUAGAAAGAUGAAAAAUUAAUAAACUGAUGAUGCACCUUAAAGAACUAGGAAAGCAAGAACAAAGCAAAACCAAAAUUAGCCCAUGAAAAAAUAAUAAAGAUCAGAGGAGAACUAAAUAAAAUAGGGUCUCAAAAACAACACAAAUCAAGAAAAGGAAUUACUGGUUCUUAGCAAGAAAAACACACUUUGGGUAUUUUCUUUUCUUUUUUUUUUUUUUUGUAGAAAGCGUUUUGCUCUUGUUGCCCAGGCUGGAGUGCAGUGGCAAGAUCUCCACUCAAUGCACGCUCCACCUUCCAGGUUCAAGUGAUUCUCCUUCCUCAGUCUCCUGAGUAGCUGGGAUUACAGGUGCUCACCACCAUGCCCAGCUAAUUUUUGUAUUUUUAGUAGAGACGGGGUUUCACUAUGUUGGUCAGGCUAGUCUCAAACUCCUGACCUCGUGAUCUGCCCGUGUCGGUCUCCCAAAGUGCUGGGAUUAUAGGUGUGAGCCACCAUGCCUGGCCUCAAAAUAUUCUUUUGAGGGACUCUUGCAUACAAGCCCCAAGAGGCAGGUGCAAAAAUGUCCAUAGAAACACAGUAAUAGAAAAAAAGAAAAUCCAGACUGAUUCAAAUGUCCAUUAACAGGAGAAUGAAUAAAUUAGUUGGAAUCUUCUUUUCUUUUCUUUUCUUUUUUUUUUGAGACGGAGUUUCGCUCUUGUUGCCCAGGCUGGAGUGCAAUGGCACAAUCUCAGUUUGUAGCAACCUCCGCCUCCGGGGUUCAAGCCAUUCUCCUGCCUCAGCUUCCUGAGCAGCAGGGAUUACAGGCAUGCGCCACCACACCUGGCUAAUUUUGUAUUUUUAGUAGAGACGGGGUUUCUCCCUGUUUGUCAGGCUGGUCUCAAACUCCGGACCUCAGGUGAUCCGCCCGCCUCGGCCUCCCAAAGUGCUGGGAUUACAGGCGUGAGCCACCGCUCCUGGCCAUUAGUUGGAGUCUUCUUAUACAGUGGUGAGACUGAAUCAGCUACAGUUGCACAACAGAAUGGAUGAAGCUUAGAAGUAAUGUUGGGUUUAAACGGCCAAUCCCAGGCUGUUACAUUUACCAUUUGCAAUAACAAUAGGAACUAAGGUAACUGAAGAAUCUAACAAAAACUAUGCAAGACCUGUAUUGAAAAAUUAUAAAACUUGAUUGAAAGACAUUUAAAAAAUCUAAAUAAGAGAGAUCAUACAUAAUCUACUCUUUGUGGAUUGGGAGAUUCAGUAUUAUAAAGCUGUCGAUUCUCCCCAAAUUGUUCUACAGAUUUAAUGCAAAUCCAGUAAAAAAUUCAACAAGAGGCCGGGCACGGUGGCUCAAGCCUGUAAUCCCAGCACUUUGGGAGGCUGAGGCAGGCAGAUCACAAGGUCAGGAGAUCGAGACCAUCCUGGCUAACAUGGUGAAAUCCCGUCUCUACUAAAAAAAAAAAAAAAAACAGAAAAAUGAGCCAGGCGUGGUGGCGGGUGCCUGUAGUCCCAGCUACUCAGGAGGCUGAGGCAGGGAAUGGUGUCAACCCAGGAGGCAGAGCUUGCAGUGGCUCGAUCUUGGCUCACUGCAACCUCCACCUCCCAGGUUCAAGUGAUUCUCCUGUCCCUGCCUCCUGUGUAGCUGGGAUUACAGGUGUGCACCAUCACAUCUGGCUAAUUUUUGUAUUUUUAGUAGACACAGGGUCUCACCAUGUUGGCCAGGCUAGUCUCCAACUCCUGGCCGCAAGUAAUCUGCCCACUUCAGCCUCCCAAAGUGUUGGGAUUAUAGGCGUGAGCCACCGAGCCCAGCCAGUACACAGAAUACCAUUUUUUACUUAAGUAUAUUAAUCUAGAAGAGUUUUUUUAAAAUACAAUAUACCAUUUUUAUCUAUAACACUUAAAGACAAUCAAAGCCAAAUUAUGCUGUUUCAAGAUACCACAUACUUAGAAAAACAUCUAUAAAAAGCAAGAGAAACAUACAAAUCAGGCCCAUCUGGAGAGAAGGGAGUGAAGCAUUGCGCUGAUACGGGGAUAAAUAUGCUGGUUGGGUAGACAGGCAGUCCUUAUGCUUUUGGCUGACGUAGAUGUUACGUACUAUUUCACGUGUUAUCACACUCUCCAGUAAACACGUAACAUAAGAGAAUAAUUAACCACCAUCAAGCGUUCUCAUCUUGAGACAGGAAGAUGUAGAGGAAAGACCUUGAUGUGUGUGUCAGUUACAAGGAUGUACACCAGUGACUGACAUGACUUGGUGCAAAUCUUGGGUAGAGACCUAUACUUAAGCUCCUCACCCCCACCUGCCGAGGCGUAAGGGCUCAGAGGGGGUUCCAUGGGGUGGGCGGGAGUGGUAAGGGUCGAGGUGCAGCCACAGCCUGGCUCUGUGCACACCCUCUCCCUCCCUUCCCACCUCAUGUGCACACCCUCUCCUUCCCCCACCCCAUGUGCACACCCUCUCCCUCCCCCCACCUCAUGUGCACACCCUCUCCCUCCCCCCGCCUCUUGUGCACACCCCU
rnacentral:lncRNA from 1 species